UGGGGAAUCAUGGUCAAUGGGCGAAAGCCUGAACCUGCGACGCCGCGUGAGUGAUGAAGGUCGUAAGAUCGUAAAACUCUUUUCAGGGAUCUUAAAGCCUGUCUGUCAACAACAGGCAGGUCUGACUCUCCCUGGAAGAAGCCCCAGCCAACUACGUGCCAGCAGCUGCGGUAAUACGUAGGGGGCGAGCGUUAUUCGGAAUUACUGGGUGUAAAGGGUAUGUAGGCGGCCCUUCAAGUCGCGUGUCAAAGUCCAGUGCUCAACGCUGGGGGUGCGCGCGAUAGUGACGGGCUUGAGGGCUGUAGAGGUGAGCGGAAUUCCCUGUGUAGUGGUAAAAUACGUAGAGAUCGGGAGGAACACCAGCGGCGCAGGCGGCUCACUAGACAGUUUCUGACGCUAAGAUACGAAAGCGUGGGGAGCAAACA
rnacentral:rRNA from 1 species